AGCGAACGCUGGCGGCAGGCCUAACACAUGCAAGUCGAACGAUCCUUCGGGAUAGUGGCGGACGGGUGAGUAACACGUGGGAACGUGCCCUUUGGUUCGGAACAACUCAGGGAAACUUGAGCUAAUACCGAAUGUGCCCUUCGGGGGAAAGAUUUAUCGCCAUUGGAGCGGCCCGCGUCCGAUUAGCUAGUUGGUGAGGUAACGGCUCACCAAGGCGACGAUCAGUAGCUGGUCUGAGAGGAUGAUCAGCCACACUGGGACUGAGACACGGCCCAGACUCCUACGGGAGGCAGCAGUGGGGAAUCUUGCGCAAUGGGCGAAAGCCUGACGCAGCCAUGCCGCGUGAAUGAUGAAGGUCUUAGGAUUGUAAAAUUCUUUCACCGAGGACGAUAAUGACGGUACCCGGAGAAGAAGCCCCGGCUAACUUCGUGCCAGCCGCCGCGGUAACAC
rnacentral:rRNA from 1 species